CGCCCUGUGGGGCUGAGGCGCGCGAGUGAGGCCGGAGAGUUUCCCCAGCCAUGCUGGCCCUGGCGCUGCUGCUGCCCCUGGCCCUGGCCGGGACCCCCGAGGUGACGGUGCCUCGACCCCGGGGGGUGGCCCUGAGCCGGACCCCCGCGUGCCCCAACGGGCGAUUCCACUGCGCCAACGCCCGGGGCACCGCCCCCUAGCAUCCCCGCGGCCCACGUCAACGACGGCGCCUGGGUGUUCGGAUUUGGGGGCAAUUUGGGGGUCCUGGGGGAUUUGGGGGGAUUUUGGGGGUCCUGGGGGGGAUUUGGGGGAUUUUGGGAGACAUUUGUGGAGGUUUGGGCACCGCACCGUCCUCCCGGAGCAUCCCCAGGUCACGGCGCGCCCCCCCCUGGGGGUGCGGCCUGGGGGGUUUGGGGGGUCCCGAAGGGGUUUUGGGGGUCCUGGGAGCGGCUUGGGGGAUUUUGGGGGUCCUGGGGGGAUUUGGGGGUCCUGGGGAGGGUUUGGGGGGUCCUGGGGGGGAUUUGGGGGGAUUUUGGGGGUCCUGGCGGGGAUUUGGGGGGAUUUUGGGGGUCCUGGGGGGUCCUGGGGGGAUUUGGGGGGAUUUGGGGGUCCUGAAGGGGAUUUGGGUUUACCGAGGGGGUUUAGGGGCAUUUGGGGAGGUUUGGGCGCCGCAGCAUCCCCACGGCUCACAGCAACAACGGCGUCUGCG
rnacentral:lncRNA from 1 species